AAUUCUCUGUCUUUAAAAAGUCAAUUAGUGAGCAUAAAAGCUACAUGUUAAGAUAUUGAGUAUUAUUGGAGAGAACUUUGAAGUAGUAAAAAAAUAAGUUUGAGAGUUUCUGCCUAAGACGAAGAUAAGAAUCCUAAGAGAGUAGUGGAAUUAAGUAAUAACUUACAAAGUUUGGACUUUUAGUCAUCUGUUGUAGAAAAUUAAAGAAAUACACAGUAUUGCUGACUUACCUAAACUAAUGCAGUAAAAUGUGGAUAACUUACAUUUGAGUAUAUAAAUGCGUUAAGCUUCAUACAUUUAUUUGAGUCUGAGUCAUAUGUAUUGAUCUUUUAGUAUUGAAAUGACAUUUUAUUUUUGUUUUAGAGUACAAAUCUUUCACUUUAAAUUGAUUUAUUCUUUUCCUUUUCCUGAGCUUUACUUAAGUUUAGAAAAGAAAUAAAACGUUGUGUUCUAAUAUGCAUAUACUUUCAUUAGACUUUCAUUAGAUUUCUUUUGAUU
rnacentral:lncRNA from 1 species